UUGCCAAACCUUUCACAUCCACCACAUUGCUUCUGCUUUGUUACUGCCGCACCACCCACACCCACAAAUAGGGAAGCUCUGCUUUCUACACUUCCACCACUAACAGGAGAGCUUUGGCAUCACUAAAGGAGUCGUCCAUCUGUCCUUUCAGCUCACCAACAACAAAAAAUUUCCUGCCUUUCUGCCUCUUUCUCCAAACCCCAUUUACACCAAAAGGAAAAAGAUGGUGGUUUAAUUUGGACAACCCAUCAGGCGCUGGUGGACUGAAGAUGCUCCGGCCUGUUAUCCUUCCACUGCAGAGAGGAGGUGGUGUUCGCUGCUCUGUGAAACCAGCCUGGCGCGGUGCCCUCCAAUCUAAGAGCCGAGACGCCUCCGCCUUCGCAGAGACUCCACAGCCCAACUCUCCACUUGGAACGGGCAGGCCAGUAGAUAGCAACCCCAGCCCAGCCUUCAAGGGAAAUAUCGAGGCCUUAGAGCCACUGUAGAGGUAAAUUGCGAGUCGCACAAUCACUCCAUUGGUCAAAUUCAAGUCUUCAUGUGCGCACAAGAGAUCCAAUCCAAAGCCCAGACCUUCUAACAUCCUUGAACUUUUUUCUCAUACAUACGGCUAGUGGGAUUGGAAUCCCCACACUAUCAUUAUGUUUUUUUAAAAUAUACUGCAUUUAUUCGAUCAAUUUAUGUUUGAUCCGGUUAAUAAAAAUUAGUUUAAAGUAUUUAUAUUUUAAUAUUACAAUAAUUAAACUUUUGGUGGUCAA